UACGGAGGGGACUAGCGUUGUUCGGAAUUACUGGGCGUAAAGCGCACGUAGGCGGAUUUGUAAGUCAGGGGUGAAAUCCCGGGGCUCAACCUCGGAACUGCCUUUGAUACUGCAAAUCUCGAGUCCGGAAGAGGUGAGUGGAAUUCCUAGUGUAGAGGUGAAAUUCGUAGAUAUUAGGAAGAACACCAGUGGCGAAGGCAGCUCGCUGGGACGGUACUGACGCUGAGGCGCGAAAGCGUGGGGAGCGAACAGG
rnacentral:rRNA from 1 species